rnacentral:lncRNA from 10 species
GAAACUCUUUACAUGGCAAACAAAAGGAACCUCUUGCUCCAUAUACUAAAAUUAGCUGACCGUUAUUUUCAUAUAUGAACCAAAGAGGUGUUUGUCUACAACGUACACAGUUACCAAGAUGCCUUCAGGUAGUCUGGGUUUCACUACAAUAGCUGUGAAGCACCUAUUAUAAACUAAGUACUCUUAUACAUGAAAAGUACACAAUUCCUACCCCAUAGAAAAUAGAGUAUAGACAGGGGCAGUAUAAGUAAACAAAACAAUGACAGGACAAUGCAAAGAGAGCAUCAGCAGCAAAAAGCUCUGUGCCAUCUGGGUAAGAGAUGAUACAGAAGGGGGAAUGGUUAACUUGUUCUAGAGGCAUCAGGAAAUGUUUCAAGCAAGAGAGAAAAUCCAGGAUGAUGUUCUCCUACAAGAAACCUAAAAAAAUCAAGGAAAGUAUAUUUCUUUAUAUUUAAACAUGCUUUUCUAACCCUGAGUUUUUCAUUUAAUGAGGAAUAUAUUAUAAAGAAGAGUGGUAAAUGUUACUGAGUUGUCCUUAACCUUCAAAAAAGUUUUAACUAUGUGCUGUAGAUAAAAACUAUAAUACUUAAGGAUCUAUAUCUUCUCACCAGAUUUUCCAAGUGUGUUAAUAAUAAAUCUACUCUGGAAAAAUAUUACCUAUGAUUAAACUACAUUCCCCGUUAUUGACCUUUACGACCUCAUGCUUCCUUUGCUAGGGUGCUAUAAUUACCUCAUAAAAGAAAGGGUAGAGUAACAGGACCCAUGAAGAUAAAAAACAUCCACUGAAUUUCCCUCACUCAAGCUAUCAUCUGGAAUCUCUGAGUCUCUCAACCUUUUUCUAAAGCUAUUAAUAUUAUUGCUGUGUUGACCUUUGCUGCUGUUUGCCAUUUUGAAAUUUACAGAUCAGCAAGCACCAGUAAAUCUUGUCAGAAUUAAUGCAAAUGUAAGACACAGUCAUUACAGGCUCCUCACGGUAAAGAAUAGCUUGCUACAAUGUUAUUACCGAGACACAAUUUAUCCUGAUUGCCAGAAAGAUGAGACACCCUGAAUAUAAGCAGUAAACUGGCUCUGAGAAAUAAAUCUCACUGGCAUUGCCCACACAGAAGUUUGCUCACGCGGAUGAAUGCUGUCAGUGCAGCGAGUGGCGGAGUGAUUGAUUCACUCCCGUACAUCUCCCAUCUCCCCCUGCUGGAGAAUGAAAGUUAAUUUGCUCUCAUUCAUUCUGUUCACCACACUAGAUGUUUUUAAGGGUUGAACUCAGAAAAUGAAGACAAGUAAAUAAUGGUUUCGAUGACUUUUUUUCCCGGCAGUGGAUGUGCCUUCAUAUUUCAACCCUGCACAUUUCUUUCAUAGGGUAGCUAUGAUUAAUAUACCAAUGAAUUCCAAGUCAAACAGGAAACAUUAUUUGCUCUGUUGGAUGAGCUUAUGUUUCUGAUAUAUAAAAAAGUGAUUCCAUAAAAGAAUUGAGGAUAUAUAGGUAGCAAAAUUCCAGUUCAUGACAAUUUCAUCUUCUCAGUGCAUUUUUAAAUCACUUUUUCUCUAUGAAAAAUUCUUGCAAUGAUAUUAAAGAACUAAGAAUUUUAAUGUAGUCUUCUUUAAAGAAUAGAGUGAAUGUUGGUGGCCAAAAGAAUGAGAGUUAUGAUCAACUCAGUAUACCACUGGAGGCUACAGGAGCAAACAGCAAACUGUUUCUCAUGAAAGCAGGAUGUUCAAAGCAGGAUGUUGGCAAAAUGACAAACUGCAUCUGCCACCCAGAAGGAAUGCUGAGGGCAGUCAUGCCCCAAGUGCAGUGUUUUUGUGAUUAGGCACAACUGAAGCUUGUUAGCAAUAAUAUGACCCUGUGAUUAAUUGAGCGGCUGACCAAUCAUUACCUCCUCCUCCCUGCUCUUUCUACCCAAUAAAUACAAAGGGCUGUGGAAGCUCAAUGGGCUGCCUUUGCUCAUUAGAAGCAGGGAGCUCUCUUCUUCUUCCCCUGGAUCCUUCCUUUAAAAUAGUUUCUUUUGUCUUAAGUUUUCAUUUCUACGUUUGUCCCUUCAUUCAGUCUCUUAAAUGACGGUCUCAAGCAGUAACAGUAGUAAUUGCUGUAAUGACGGUCUCAAGUAGUAACCAGGGCACUCUGCCACAAGUGGCACCUGAACAGGGACUAACAGGGACUAUCAAGAACAAACGGAGACCUGAAGAGACCUGAAGGGAACUGAAGAGGUCUGCAGGGACAAAUAGAGAUAAGUAGGGAUAAAUAGAGAUAAAUAGAGACAAAUAGAGAUAGGUAAGGAAUGACAGGGACUUGCAGGAAGUAACAGGGACCAUAGGGACAGAUAGGGAUAGAUAAAGACUAGCAAAGACUAGCCGAGAUUAGCAAAGACCAGCAAGGACUAGCAGAGACUAGCAAAGACUAGCAGAAACUUGCAGGGACAGGCAGAGACAGAUAGGGACAGAUAGGGUCCUACAGGGACUUGAACGAGGAAGAUCUGCUGGAAAAGAAAAGAACUACAACCAACCAGAUGAACAAGAAACCCUGUUACAAGUCUGCUGGCAGCAACAUAAGGUCAGUGCUCUAAAAAGGUACUGGUCAGUACCCUAGAGGUACAAAGAACGGGAAGUUUUUGAUCAGGGUAACAUGGGGAAGAAUUUGGUUAUUUCUUUUCUCUUUUUUGUUUGGAGUUUGGUACGUGCCAUCUUCUGUUAUUUCAGGGUUUGAGAGAAUUUUUUGCCCCACCUACAGCACCUAUGGAGGGUGAUGAACAGGAGAGGGAGGAUGAAAAUUGGCUUGUAUCAUCUUCUUUAGUGGUUGCAAAAAUGCUAAAUGUUAUAAGUGUAGAAAAAUUGGAUCUAUGGGAGUAAUUUUAGGUAAAAGUCAACUUAACUUACACGGUAUUACUGUAGUCCCAGGAGUUGUUGAUUCGGAUUGUGAAGGAGAAAUUCAGGUGGCGGUAAUGUCAUAAGAUUUUAGGUUUUAAACCAGGAGAAUAUCUUGCAGAACUGUUGCUUAUUCCCUGUAAAUUGCACCCUUCUCCACAUAAGGAGAAAUGAGUUUGUGGAUUUGGCUCAACUGUUGCUUAUUCCCUGUAAAUUGCCCUCUUCUCUAUGUAAGAAGAAGCGAGGAGGUCGGGAAUUUGGGAGUACAACUAGGAGAGAGAUUUAUCUAUCACAACCCAUAGCAUCUAAUAGACCCACCUGUACAGUACAAAUUGAAGGCUUAAGGAUUGUUUUUUUACUAUGUUAUUGCACGAGAGGGAGAGGCUUCGAUUUGUUUUCUCUGUGCCUUCUGUUAAUCAGAAAGAGCCUGCUUCUCAUUAUCAAUGGAAAGUUUUACCCCGUGGCAAUUAACCAAAGAGGGAGAGGCUGAGCUGUAGCUUGUAGAACAAAUGCUUCUGCAAUGGCAUGCCUCCCGGCUUAGAGCCACCUUUGCUUCUGUUUUGGUAGAUUUACUAACUUGGGGACCAGGGUAUGCUUGUUUUUGCAGGAAAUGAACAAAAAGUGUGGGUGCCCCCAAGGUGUGUACUACCAUGGAAUGGGAGAUUGGAGGGACACAUGGAUCCCAACCGUGGGCCUGGUUCCCCCAGUAUGAGCUGAAUACGAAGACAGAACAAACCACCAACCGGCAAUUGAAGUGACACAAAGUGAACCGGGUUCUAUAAAUUACCAUGGAAAGUGGUGAGCCAACGAUUUGGCAGAACAAAACCCUGAGGAUAUGCAAACAAAAGGGACUAUGGAAUUUGCAAUUGCAGAUUAAAAUUGAAGAAGAAAACAUUUGAGUUGCAAAUACCGUAUUAAAAGUGGACACUGCUUAUGACUGCUGUAUGCAACAGUUUUUCAGGCCCGAGAGGAACCCAGACAUGCUCUAUUUGCAAACCGACUGCAUGAAACAAAAAGCACGGUAAUUCUGAAGCUGUUGGCUUGGAUGAAAUGAGAAUGUAAUUAAAAAGAAAAAGGUUAGCAAAAGAACAUGCUGGGAAUUGAAAAUAAAAAUCUGAAAUGAUGUCCCAGCCUGCCCUUAAGGUCUUUUCCACCAUGUAGAGAGCUACCUCAAAUGCUCUACUUGUCCCAGAGUCUAUGUUCUUUCACUACUAUUGCCUAUAUCUGUGUUUUCUGCUUUCAAUAAUCUAUUGAAAUAAUCAAAAUUAAUUACAUUCAGCAUUUUUUCUGUAUUACUCUGAUUCUAAUAAUUACCUCAAAUUUAUUUGUGCAUUUCUAUACUAGAAAGAAAAAAUAAUUUUUAGAGUUUUACUAUAUCUUCCCCUUAAUUCUAAGUUGCUUGUCACUAAUUCCUUUCCCAACACUAUGUUAUUUCCACCAAGAACAUUACCAAUAUCUUCAGGAAAAUUCCACCCCAUAUUUUAAGCCAGAUUGAUUAUUGGGAAUAUAAAUACAUUUAAGAAGGAAAGUCUUUUUGACUGUGUUUCUCCACAGACCAAUAGUAUACAAAACACAGAAGGCUUUUAAGCACAUUUCAUAGGGAUCACUGACUUAGAACAGAAGGAACCAUUUCGUGAAACACUCUCAUUUUGCACAUAAAGGAGCUGUGGCCCACAGAGGAAUAUGAUUUACUGAGAGUGACCCAGUUAGUGGCCAUAAACCAAAAGCCCCAAGAUGCUAAAUGUUUGUUAUGAAGAGUAAAAAUCCUCCCAGUUUAUAAGAAGUAACUUCAUCCUUCCAUUUUCUAUUUCCACGAUGACUCCCCUGGCUUAAAUUUUAAUCUCUAUUUUGGAUGACUCCAAAAUCUCAUUCUUCUAAAUUAAUUAUCUAAUACCACAAUGUUGCACUUAUCUUCCUACAAAUCUACUUUCAUCUGCCUUGACAAAGCCAACCCUAAUUUUCUCUAGUCCUCAUUAGAAAUUAUUGCAACAAAAAUUCACAUCCAGUCUGAAGUUUGGGAGCCAGAAAAGAAUUUUCCCAUUAAGAUGAGACAGUAUCAAUUAUUAAGCAGAGGAAGACACAAGAGGGAAAGCAGCUUUCACAUGAAAAAAAAAGAACUCUGAUUUUCUGACACAUUUUGUCAUUGCAGUCAAACUUUCAGAGUUAGAACUAGAGACCUAGAUAUUAGCUAACCCAGCAUUUUCCAAGUAUUCCUCGGAACUCUAGAGGCACAGCAUAGUACUGGUAAUGAUUUUGUGGCAGGAUAGAUUAAGGAAACCUCACAGUUAUACCAAGUUAAAUUCAUUUAUUUCAUGUAAAAUUCUGAUAGCCUUUUAUGCUACUAGGCCUAGUGAUACUCCAAAAUUAUUGGCCAUAUAUCUGAAAUUUAUUUCAGCAAGAAACCCUUUAAAGAGCAUCCCGCAGAGUUAGUGUUUUGAGGGAUAUCAUUGGGGAAAAUGCUGAUCUAGACCAAUUCAACAAAUUGUAACUUAGUUAACACCAGAGUCAAAACAAAAACCAAGUCUACUCAUGUCUGUCUUAGGCCCUUUUGGUCACAAAAACACGUUCAAACCACUUCAAUUAAGAAAAUGGUGAGAGGGGAAAAGACAAGCAGGGAACCUUAUCCCAGGUGGGCUGAUCACAGGACUUCCAAGGCUGUCCCUUAGAAGAGUCACGAUAAUGGCAUCUCUAGCACAAAACUCAAAUUUAGUUUUAAUUCUUAGUCGAAUAAUAAUACAGUAAAAUUUAUUGCAUGCAUAAGGAUAAUACAUUAAAACUACUUAAAUUACAUUUUAGGGCCGGGCGCGGUGGCUCACGCCUGUAAUCCCAGCACUUUGGGAGGCCGAGGCGGGUGGAUCACGAGGUCAGGA